ensembl:misc_RNA Metazoa_SRP Metazoan signal recognition particle RNA
GCCGGGCGCAGGGGCGCGCGCCUGUAAUCCAGGCUACUGGGAGGCUGAGGCUGGCGGAUCGUUUGAGCUCAGGGGUUCUGGGCUGCAGUGCACUAUGCCGAUCGGGUGUCCGCACUAAGUUCGGUAUCGAUAUGGUGCUCCUGAGGGAGCUCGGGACCACCAGGUCGCCCAAGGAGGGGUGAACCGGCCCAGGUCGGAGACGGAGCAGGUCAAAGCCCCCGUGCCGAUCAGUAGUGGGAUCGCGCCUGUGAAUAGACGCUGCAGAGCAGCCUGAGCAAGAUAGCGGAACUCAGUCUUUU